CGGGAGGGAGUAGCGCCAGUCUCCGCGGCGUCCCACAUACACAGUCCGCAGUCGAGCUUGGCUAUACGACGCCGAGAGAGAUUGUGCCUGUGUAUAUGUGUGUAUGUGUGUGUAUAUACGCUGGAUAUUACAGUUAACGUGUAAGAAUUACGCAGUAGUGUGGCGGGAAAUUUACAAGUGCUUGAACGACAUUAUUUGUCAAGUCACAGGAAGCUCUUGAGAACGCGCGACCUGACGACCCUUGAGAACGCGCAACAGGCAACCUUUGAGAACGCGCUCACAAAAAUAUAUAUUACGUGAAGUUGACGUGAAGAAUCAGGAAAGAAAAAUGAAGACAAAAUAUACAGGAUUUUAACACGCUACUAACUUUAGUUAAGUGGCUAAAGGCAUUCAAUCCCAGCAAAUGCAAGCAACUGAAGGUGGGAAAAGGAGAAUGGAGACCAGAGGAACAAUUUAACCUGAAGGGAGGCAGCAGGUAAAUUAGGAAUACAAAAGUACCCUUCUGAAUGCACAAUACUCCUAAUAUAUCACCGCCAGCUGGUCUAAACAGGCUAACAUAAGCAAAUUCACCACAAGUUGCUGCUGUGGAAGUGAUGGAAUCAGGAGAGCUGGAAGUGGAGUGGUUUGAAACAGAGACUGUUCCAAUGUUGUGGAACAAAGUGGUGCUGAAGACUGGUAUAUACACAGACUGGCCUGUAUAUUAGUGCUGACGACUGGUAUAGCCCCUCAUAAUAAUGUCAGCAUGAACCAAAUCAACCUGACACUAGAUAUACUAGAUUCCUUUUGUUAUGAUGAAAACCGAACUUGUAACAAAAUACUUUUAUAACAUGUUUCUAUUGAUGGGUCUUAUUAAUUUUUUUUUUUUUGUAAUUAUCAUUUGCAAAAAAAGUAUGAAUAGGUUGUUUUUGUCCGAGAUAAAAGCAGAAUUUAUGUUAAAUUAUUGGAAUACUAAAAUUUAUUUUUGUUUUUGAAAUAAAGUGGCCUAAAUUCCAUUAAUUAAGCGAAUAUUUUUUAAUGUUUAUAUUGAUAAAUUAGGGCCUCUUAGUACAGUUAGCUUUGAUCUCUACUCAAAUUCGCGGAUCCCAGGUUCGAUUCCCGGACGGGAGAAAACAAUUACGUAUUAGUGAUAUGACCUACAACUGAAUAUAUAAUGAUUAACAGUAAAUAUAUAGCUCUUGAAUUAGAACAUUCUCUGUAAUUAGCUGACAUUAUAAUUAUAAGGUGUGAAGGAUAGAUGAAAUUGUUAACGUAAUCAUCACCGGUGAAGUCUGAUAAAGACCUUUUG